rnacentral:rRNA from 1 species
CUUAGUGGCGGACGGGUGAGUAACGCGUGGGUAACCUGCCUCACACUGGGGGAUAACAGUUAGAAAUAGCUGCUAAUACCGCAUAAGCGCACGGUUCCGCAUGGAACAGUGUGAAAAACUCCGGUGGUGUGAGAUGGACCCGCGUCUGAUUAGCCAGUUGGCGGGGUAACGGCCCACCAAAGCGACGAUCAGUAGUCGGCCUGAGAGGGUGAACGGCCACAUUGGGACUGAGACACGGCCCAAACUCCUACGGGAGGCAGCAUG